CAGGGAAUAUUGCACAAUGGGGGAAACCCUGAUGCAGCGACGCCGCGUGAAGGAAGAAGUAUCUCGGUAUGUAAACUUCUAUCAGCAGGGAAGAAAAUGACGGUACCUGACUAAGAAGCCCCGGCUAACUACGUGCCAGCAGCCGCGGUAAUACGUAGGGGGCGAAGCGUUAUCCGGAUUUACUGGGUGUAAAGGGAGCGUAGACGGAAGAGCAAGUCUGAUGUGAAAGGCUGGGGCUUAACCCCGGGACUGCUUUGGAAACUGUAAUUUCUAGAGUGCAGGAGGGGCAAGCGGAAUUCCUAGUGUAGCGGUGAAAUGCGUAGAUAUUAGGAGGAACACCAGUGGCGAAGGCGGCUUACUGGACGACAACUGACGCUGAGGCUCGAAAGCGUGGGGAGCAAACAGGAUUAGAUACCCUGGUAGUA
rnacentral:rRNA from 1 species